GACGAACGCUGGCGGCGUGCUUAACACAUGCAAGUCGAACGGAAAGGCCCCUUCGGGGGUACUCGAGUGGCGAACGGGUGAGUAACACGUGGGUGAUCUGCCCUGCACUUCGGGAUAAGCCUGGGAAACUGGGUCUAAUACCGGAUAGGACCACGGGAUGCAUGUCCUGUGGUGGAAAGCUUUUGCGGUGUGGGAUGGGCCCGCGGCCUAUCAGCUUGUUGGUGGGGUGACGGCCUACCAAGGCGACGACGGGUGGCCGGCCUGAGAGGGUGUCCGGCCACACUGGGACUGAGAUACGGCCCAGACUCCUACGGGAGGCAGCAGUGGGGAAUAUUGCACAAUGGGCGCAAGCCUGAUGCAGCGACGCCGCGUGGGGGAUGACGGCCUUCGGGUUGUAAACCUCUUUCAGCAGGGACGAAGCGCAAGUGACGGUACCUGCAGAAGAAGCACCGGCCAACUACGUGCCAGCAGCCGCGGUAAUACGUAGGGUGCGAGCGUUGUCCGGAAUUACUGGGCGUAAAGAGCUCGUAGGUGGUUUGUCGCGUUGUUCGUGAAAACCGGGGGCUUAACCCUCGGCGUGCGGGCGAUACGGGCAGACUGGAGUACUGCAGGGGAGACUGGAAUUCCUGGUGUAGCGGUGGAAUGCGCAGAUAUCAGGAGGAACACCGGUGGCGAAGGCGGGUCUCUGGGCAGUAACUGACGCUGAGGAGCGAAAGCGUGGGGAGCGAACAGGAUUAGAUACCCUGGUAGUCCACGCCGUAAACGGUGGGUACUAGGUGUGGGUUUCCUUCCUUGGGAUCCGUGCCGUAGCUAACGCAUUAAGUACCCCGCCUGGGGAGUACGGCCGCAAGGCUAAAACUCAAAGGAAUUGACGGGGGCCCGCACAAGCGGCGGAGCAUGUGGAUUAAUUCGAUGCAACGCGAAGAACCUUACCUGGGUUUGACAUGCACAGGACGCCGGCAGAGAUGUCGGUUCCCUUGUGGCCUGUGUGCAGGUGGUGCAUGGCUGUCGUCAGCUCGUGUCGUGAGAUGUUGGGUUAAGUCCCGCAACGAGCGCAACCCUUGUCUCAUGUUGCCAGCGGGUAAUGCCGGGGACUCGUGAGAGACUGCCGGGGUCAACUCGGAGGAAGGUGGGGAUGACGUCAAGUCAUCAUGCCCCUUAUGUCCAGGGCUUCACACAUGCUACAAUGGCCGGUACAAAGGGCUGCGAUGCCGCGAGGCUUAGCGAAUCCUUUUAAAGCCGGUCUCAGUUCGGAUCGGGGUCUGCAACUCGACCCCGUGAAGUCGGAGUCGCUAGUAAUCGCAGAUCAGCAACGCUGCGGUGAAUACGUUCCCGGGCCU
rnacentral:rRNA from 1 species